CUGACCACUGUUCUUCCUGUUUCACCCUCUCUCUUCCCACCCAUCCUCACUCAGACCCUCCCUUGCCCACUGUGAGCAGCUCCUGAGGCACCCCUGAGCACCAGACUGGCUCCCCUUUGCUUGAGGUGGGAGGAUCUCUGUGUCAUUCCUUUAGGACAAGAAAGAAAAGAAAAAAAGAAAAAGAUGUCAGGUCACCCUAACACUAUGCACAGAAGGGAAGGCAACAGGUGGAAAGCCACAACACAGGCCAUGGUGGAAAGACAGAGACAAGCAGAAGAAACCUUGUUGGCACCUCACACCACAGGGAGCUUAUGACAACCUUUGCCCUUUAAGCCCAAUGAUGUGCUGACCAAACUCUGCUAGGAUCCCACCAUGUCAGAGCCCUGGGAUGGGGUUAUCAGAGAGGAAGCAUAGACUCUGCCCUGAGGGAACUUGCAGUCUGAUGGGGGCAACAGAGACCCUACAAGUUUUCAAAGCUUUUGCAUGCAUAUCAUCACAUUUCUGGAUUGCGCACCUCCCUCUUUUUGUGGAUGGGGAAACUGAGGGCCUGAGAACUCAAAUGGACAAAUGCCCAGUGUCUGGACCCAAACUUCUUCACUAAGCCUCAGCCUCAGCCUGGUAGCCUCAGACUACCAAGCUAUUGCACAGAGGAGGGACUCCAGACCCCACAGACUCUCCAGGACACUCAAUCUACCCCUUCAGGAUCAGACCCGGCCGACACGGGGUGUCAACGGUAACCAGGUUCGAGCCCAGUUCCAGGCCACUUUCAGCAAGUUAUCAACUGACCAGAGCCUCAGUCUCCCCCUCAAUCCAAUGUGAACUAUAACAACCACGAUGCCCACAGCUGGUGUGAGAAGCCAAAGAGAUAACGUAGAAGGAUGUGUCUGCGAAGUGCGGGACACGGAACAC